rnacentral:rRNA from 1 species
ACAUCACCUCUAGCNUCNCCAGUAUUAGAGGCACCGCCUGCCCAGUGACACAUGUUUAACGGCCGCGGUACCCUANCCGUGCAAAGGUAGCAUAAUCNNUCGCCUGUUUAUCAAAAACAUUUUUAUUAGAAUUAAUUAAUAAUAAAACCUGNUCAAUGAAAUUUAAAUAGCCGCUUUUGUGCUAAGGUAGCAUAAUAAUUUGUCUNUUAAUUAAAGACUAGAACAAAAGGUUUAACAUCUCAAUUAAUNUCUUUAAAAAACUAUUAAAANUAUUUUAAUNGUAAAAAANCAAUUUUAAAAAAGAAAGACGAUAAGNCCCUAUCGAACUNUACUUCAGUUUAACUGGGGCAGUUAAUUAAUUAUUAUUUUAAAAUAAUUAAAUAUAUAAUUUGACCUAAUUUAUUAACAUAAUAANUAAGUUACCGUAGGGAUANCANCGUAAUAAAAUUGAUAAGAUAUUAUNUAAAAUAAAGAUUGCGACCUCGAU